ACAAAAUUGCGAGACAAGUUGCAAGACAAGUUGCAUAGUAGCCCGGGUACCCAAGCCGGCCUGGUUUGGGUAAAAUCUUGCUUUUGUUAUUAUGUCCUACUAAAUUUCAUUUGAAGUUUAUAUGGGAACCGAGCUGGCUAGCCUAAGCGAGAUCCCGCCUCGACUGACCCGAGAUCUAGGGUGCCCAGGCUGGGGAAUUUUCCAUACAAACGCGAUGACCCGGGCUGUCUCGGCCGCUCCUAGUGUCUAAUAAAAUAAAAGGGGCCAAUUAACGAUAGGCAACUUGCACUAAGAGGUCACGUAACCUUGAAUAUACAGAGUGAUGUUUUAAGCAAAAAUUCGUAUUUUUUGUUUUAAAAACUUCAAAAAAUAUAUCUUACACGUUUAGGGUAGGGCGCUUAGUAGAGGGGGAACGCUUUAUAGAGGGUCAUUUGAUGGAGGUUAUAUUUCAUUUUACGUAGUGCUAAAUCUUCUUCUAACUUUAUUUUGUCAAGAUAAGGACGAGGCUAUACGUCGUCUGGAAGCUCUCGAGAAAGGUAAAGCAGAAAAUAAUCGAAUUCCGAUUAUGCUGAUCGGGCAAGGCCGAGGCGGAAAGUCUUCGCUGAUGAGACGUCUUUUAGGAUUACCAAUUCCUCCGCCAUGCCCAUGCCCGUGGCAUUAUAACGACAAACGAACAACAGGAUAAAAGAAAGGGAAUAAAUAAGAAUUCACACAGCUGCAUUAAGCAUCCUACGAGGAGAAAGACGACGUCUCUAUUGGUUCUUCUUUAUAUAUGCUAUGCUCAAUAUUUGCUGAUAUAAUUAUAUAUAAGUCCAGCAUUAUUAAAUUUUACCGUUGUCGUGCUGAGGACACUCGACCAUAUUUUAAAAUUAUGGUUGAUACCUUUUCCCGAUGGUUCAAUACAUUUCUUGAUUUUAAAUUAUGCGUGUCCGGCAUUGAUGUUUUUCGUAAAAAUCGAUCAACAUUCGAAAAAUGUUUACGUUUUAGCUUCUUUAUGAGUGAUUUUCUUCUAGCAAAAGGAAAGCCUUUCCAGGGCGUGCAGGAGUAAUUUUCGAAAUCUAUUUGUUGAAUAAAAUGGUGUCGGUGCAUAUUUUUGGAGGUUUGAUGGAAAAGUAGUUUAAUCUGUGCACACUGGGCCUGUAUAUGUGGCUUGUACAAAACAACCUGAUGAUGUCAUCUACCCAAAAUUUAGUUCAGGCUAAUAAAAAAAUAAAAGGAGCCAAUUAACAACAGGCGACUUGCACUAAGAGGUCCCGUGACUUUAAUCCUUUUGAAAUAGUAGUUAUGGAACUACAAAUCUACAAUGAACAUACAGAGUGAUGGUUUAAGCAAAAUUCUUACACGUUUAGGGCAGGGCGCUUGGUAGAGGCGGGGAACGCUUUAUAGAGGGCUAUUUGGUGGAGAGUAUAUUUCACUUUAUAGAAGCCCUAGCUAUAUAUAGCUGAAAGCCAUUUUUACAGUAAUUUUGAAUAUUGAAUAUUAAAUAUUGAUAUGAAUAUUGAUUGAUAUUCAUAUCAAUUUUUUUCUAGACUAAAUACAUAUUUAACGUUGUGUUAGGGUUUGAUUGGCUUUGGUUAAAUUUGCUGGCAGCUCUCAUCAGAUUAUAGGUCCACUCGCAGCUCGCAACUGGUCAAUCCAGAUCACUCGCAGCUACGCCUAGGAAUUUGAUACAAGUUUUCCAUCCUGGGAAGUAAACAAUUAAGCAUGUUGCGCAAUGAGACUUUAGCUGUUGUUUUUUCCUUUGUUUCUGCUUUUAUCCUGCUAAGAAUGGACAAUCGGUAGACGUCCAAUGAAGGUCUUUCAAUUUUAUGUGAAUGGAAAGUCAAGUGUAUAACUAAAAUUGUUGCAUGUUGCAUCAUGUGUCGAAGACCAAUUUACACUACACAACUUUUGCCCAAAGCCUGGUUUCCUUAGGGUCGUAACGGUCGUAAAGAUUAAUCCUCAUAAAAUAAUAGGUAAUAAUUCAAAUUUUUUGUUUUAAAAACUUCAAAAAAUAUUCUUACACGUUUAGGGCAGGGCGUUUGGUAGAGGGGGGAACGCUUUAUAGAGGGUCAUUUGAUGAAUGUUAUAUUUCAUUUUACGUAUAGUACUGAAUUUUGUGUUAACUUUAUUUUGUCAAGAGCUUCUUGAAGAGCAAAGACGUAGAAAGGAAGCUCGCUUAAAAGGUAAAGCAAAAAUAAUCUAAUUCCGAUUAUGCUGAUCGGGCAAGGCUGAGGCGGAAAGACUUCGCUGAUGAGAUGUCUUUUAGGAUUACCAAUCCCUCCGCCAUGUCCGUGGCAAUAUAACGACAAACGAACAACAGGAUAAAUGAAAGGGAAUAAAUAAGAAUUCACACGACUGCAUUAAACAUCCUACGAGGAGAAAGACGGUGUCUCUAUUGGUUCUUCUUGAUAUAUUUUAGACCCAAUAUUAGCUGAUAUAUAGAGGAUAUAUUACACGGCGGCGCGAAGAUAUGACUUUUAUCUUAGAGUGGUGAAAACAAUGUUUUACGAACGAGCGCAGAGAGUGAGUAAAAUAUUGUUUUUAACACGAGAAGAUAACAGUCAUAUCUUCAAGCCAUGGUGUAAUGUUCUGUUUAUUAUAUAGUCCCAAGCAAAAAAAAUUGAAAUUUCACGCUCAAAAGCAAAUUGGAAAAAAUCACGUGAUCGAUAUCUUCACUAGUGAAGAAAUGGAAAAUAUCUCACUGUGCAUUUUUCAGUAUCUCACUUUCUACUAUAUAAUAAAAUUAUAUAUAAGUCCGACAUUAAAUUCUACCGUCAUAAUUCGACUUGACGUAGACAUGGCUUGUACGUGGUCAUUAACUCGUGACUGUCCUUGCCAUAGGACUUAAUACCACAAUUCAAACACUCAUUAAUAAUUCGUAAGCUUCUUGGCAAAUCUUAUCAACCAUAAUAUGUCACGUGCAGUGGCUUUAAACCUGAUAAAACAUUCCUAAUUAGUAUUCUUUAUAUAUAAAGAAUACUAAUAAGGCAGUAUCUAUUGUUGUCGUGUCCUCAUUAGUAUUUUUUAUAUAAAGAAUACUAAUAAGGCGGUAUAUAUCUACUGAACUUGUAUAGUCGUGUUUUAUUAGGUUUAAAGCCACUGGCGCCGCGCGCUCGUGUCAUUAAAGCUAAUAGAACACUCCUGCUCGUUUAUUAGUGUGAAGUUUCUUCGAAACUUCACAAUAUUGUGAUGACUGGGAGGAAAUUCAAACUUAUCAGUCAGUCAGUCAGUCAGUCAGUCAGUCAGUCAGUCAUUCAGUCAGUC
rnacentral:lncRNA from 1 species